UUCUUAUCCAGAGAGGUGGAGGGACUGGCCCUUUGAAGCCUCGGCAGCGGGUUUCCGGCAAACGGAAAUACUGUGCCAAUUCCGUCAAGCAGUUAGCUUGGGAGAUAAGAA
rnacentral:ncRNA from 2 species